CAAUUUUUUUGUGUUAUAUUCUAUCUUUGAUUUUGUGUUCAAUACUUGUUAAUUUCUAUUAGUUUCUAUUUUUGUGUUAUAUCCUUUUUCCAAAUAAGUUUUAUUAGUUUUUAUGCUUUUGAUGUGGAUGCUUUUGAUGAAGGAGAGCCCAACAUUGAAACAACUAUGCUGCCUCCUUGGAAUUAAAUUUAUUAGACACCGUUUAUGUUUUAUGUUUAAAACUUAUUUGGAUUUUUAUUUUGUACUAUUUUAAUGUGUGUGAUGUGAUGACAAUGUUUAAGAUUUUAAUUUAAGAACUNN
rnacentral:lncRNA from 1 species